rnacentral:rRNA from 1 species
AUUGAACGCUGGCGGCAUGCUUUACACAUGCAAGUCGAACGGUAACAGGUUAAGCUGACGAGUGGCGAACGGGUGAGUAAUGCAUCGGAACGUGCCCGGUCGUGGGGGAUAACGCAGCGAAAGCUGCGCUAAUACCGCAUACGAUCUGAGGAUGAAAGCGGGGGACCGUAAGGCCUCGCGCGAUCGGAGCGGCCGAUGUCAGAUUAGGUAGUUGGUGGGGUAAAGGCCCACCAAGCCGACGAUCUGUAGCUGGUCUGAGAGGACGACCAGCCACACUGGGACUGAGACACGGCCCAGACUCCUACGGGAGGCAGCAGUGGGGAAUUUUGGACAAUGGGCGAAAGCCUGAUCCAGCAAUGCCGCGUGCAGGAAGAAGGCCUUCGGGUUGUAAACUGCUUUUGUACGGAGCGAAAAGGUCCUUUCUAAUACAAGGGGCUCAUGACGGUACCGUAAGAAUAAGCACCGGCUAACUACGUGCCAGCCGCCGCGGUAA